rnacentral:misc_RNA from 1 species
UGUAGGAGCUGGCUUGCCUGCGAUAGCGGGCUGUCAGUUACUCCACCAGUGCCUGACAGGUCGCGAUCGCAGGCAAGCCAGCUCCCACA